rnacentral:rRNA from 1 species
UACAGAGGUCUCAAGCGUUGUUCGGAUUCAUUGGGCGUAAAGGGUGUGUAGGUGGCGCCGUAAGUCGGGUGUGAAAUUUCGGAGCUUAACUCCGAAACUGCAUUCGAUACUGCGGUGCUUGAGGACUGGAGAGGAGACUGGAAUUCAUGGUGUAGCGGUGAAAUGCGUAGAUAUCAGGAGGAACACCGGUGGCGAAGGCGGCUUUCUGGGCAGUAACUGACGCUGAGGAGCGAAAGCGUGGGGAGCGAACAGG